CCAAAUCCAUAAUUAGCAAGUGGUAACAGAUAAGCAGAUAGAUCCACUUAUAGUGACAUCUCUGACAGAUUGACACCUCCCCCUUUAAAAAUACCUGCAAGAUUUCUCAUUUCAAAUGUGACCAUGCUCAAACAGUGUUGGCAAGCCUCGUCUCGUGUUCCUGGAGGGGGAGGGGGCUAUAAAAGCAACAUGUUCUCACAAGCAUGGCAGAGCCCAUGCAUAAACCAUUUGGCUUUGCAAUUAAAAACAGGUUUGGCUUCCCUCUGCAUCAGUAAGACAACGUCAAAGCAACAUUCAUCCCGAAAAUUUUCCCUUGUGAAUUCAAAUGAACUAUAUAACUGCAUCUAAGAUAAUCCUGCUAUUGGAAGCAUAGUAACAAAGAGAAAACUUCUGAGAGUAAACACACCCAACUACCAAAACCCUAGAGCUCAGACACUAAAGGUUCAGAGUCAUAAAUAAUGAAAAUAUUUUUAGGCGAUGUCCUCAGAGGCAAUAAAGAUCCAUUAUAUUUUCAAUAUAUCAAGAAAUGUAUGUCUUGAUUCAGAAUUAUUGCUGCCAGUGAUAGUCUCAAGGUUGCUUAUGUAACAGAAGUCAAAAAUCUCUUUAUUACCCUAUA